rnacentral:lncRNA from 1 species
GCCGUGUGGAAUGAAGUGAGCUUUGGAUGCAAACUGAAUUUCAUCUCUCUCGGUUCUUGUUUUCUGCUGAUAGCACAUAAUAACAUUGGUAAUGUUGAGCCGACAAAGAGAAGUAGCAGACUAAUUUCUAUGUCGACAAAUGAUGAUUUGCUCCCCGUAUGUGGUUUCUGGUCAUAUUGGGCUAUGUGAAAAUUGGUUUUUCUCUGUAUUCUCCAUAUGACAUUAUUUUAUAAUCGCUGGAAUAUGAAAAUAGAAUGGUGUGCAGUUCUGCCCUUGUGAGCAAUCUCUGAUGCUUAUAUAUACUAGCAGUAACGUGUAGUAUUAGGUAUGGCAAAGUAAAUUUGCUUCAACAAUCAAUUCCAGCGCAGCAAUUUUUUUAUGGGAUUUCUCUUGCAAUCUGCACUGAAUUUUGUACGCCGAUGCCAGUUUGAUGGUUUUGCUUUGAAUGGUCUUCUCAAGGAAACCGUGUUCAAUUUGUAUGUUUUGCUUUGAACGAGUCUUUCUGGAAAUCUGUAUGUGUACUUAUAUGGCUGGUUGGAAUUGUGCAAAUUGUGAUGGUUUGCUUUCUAUGAGCAACUACUUGAAUGCUGAAAUUUUAUACAGUACAUAUCAUGUCAACAACAUGUAUCUCUUUUUAUUUCACAUGUGGAUAGAGAAGUUGCCAUACAUUGUUGUCCCCUUGGCAAUAUUAUGUAAUUCUCAAAUUAUCUUGCUAUCUUUGCUCAGUAGCAUUUAAUAUGACUAAUUUGAGAUCAGCAAAGAGGAAUGGGCCUGAAGAAAUACUGAUAUUGAGCUAGGUCUGCAAGGCGAUGUAUUGAGCUCUGCGUAGCCUUUGUAUGUGUUUUUGAUUCUCUUUCUUUUUAAACAUAGCCUGUAGAUGUCCUACGGUAUAUGUUAGCACAACUACUGAAGGAUUUGCAGGUGAGCAACUGUUAUAUGAGUUUGGAUGACAGAAUAUCACUAUUACAUCAAAAUCUACGGCUUUAUAUACUUUGUCACAUACUGCCAUAUUUCAUAUAUGACGACCAUAUCAAUCACGUGUUGUUUCUUUUUCAUUCAGAGUGUACAUUGCUUCCAGUGUAACAAGAACAGAAAAUAAGGUACUCUCUAAAUAAUGUGUGAGGAUUCUGAUUCUGUAAUUUGUUUUACUGUUGCUAACUGAGCAUGCUUACAUAAUGGGAUGGUUUGAGUGGAGUUUCAAAGUCAAUCGUCCAUGUUUGCAGUCUCAAGUUACUAUAUGUAUAGUCUGAGACCUAAUAAGUACUGAUCAUUUCAGAAAGUUUCACGUUUCAUACUUAUAAUUGAUACUGAUUGUAUUCAUGUAAUUGGGCCACUUGAUUAUAGUGAUUUUCUAACUAAUAAGUAAGAUGUCCCUGGUUCUGCAUAAAGAUUUAGGCACCCUAAUUUCUUAAGUCUUUGUGGAGUCAGAAGUUUUGAAUGUUUUUGUUCAGAGUCUUUUUGAAAUGAUGAGUGAUGCAUACCUAUUCAGUGUUUUACAUGGUACUGCAAGUGAAGAAAUGAUUUGUACUGAACCAUCUAAUGUGUUAUUGCGUUUCUUUGAAGUCAUGAAUUUGUAGCAAGUGACGCCCUCAUUGGCAUUAUUUUUCUUACAUAUCCAAGAUAGUUAAAGCAUCGUGGGGACCAGGAGGCCAAGCAGUCUGUGGUGUCUCCGUCGUUGUUGCAAAGAAACAUGCCCAAACUUGUAAGCCCAUAUUGGUAUUACUUUCCAUGAAUAACAGUGAUCUGUUAAGAAUUUAUCUGUUAUCUUGCAACAACCAACAAAAUAUAUAUUUAAGAAUGAUCUGUUAUCUUGCCAUGAAUAACAGUGAUAAUUUUGUUGUUGACUCAUGUUAUAUCCUCACAAAUAAAGUGCUACAGGGAACUUUCUCUAUCGGUUCAGGUUGGACGAGCAAGACAACAUACUGCAGACUGGGAACAAGGUGAGAAGAUUAGAUGCAAAUUUAUGUAGCAUAUGUACAGCUACAUUUGUUAAUCUCCUUCUCAAUUUUUCCUUUUUCUUUGCAGAGUAUGUUCGUCAUCAUUGAUAUGUGUUAAUACUCUCCUUGAGAUUGAUUCCUUUGCUUUCGCAAAAAAGCGUCAGAUACAUGGCGAGCUUCAAAAUAUCAGGUUGCAAAUACCAUCGUUGCUUUGGACCUUGCCAUGGAUGGAUGGACACUAAAUGACCACAAAUGCCUCUAGAUUAUUAAUAAGCGUGGUUCUACGUUCAGUGCUUUGGGCAUCUGUUUUGUCUCGGGCUGGUUCUACGUACCUGAUUUUGCUUGGAACAGCCACAGGGGCGAGGAUGUUAUAUUGAUGCAGCUUGGUUUGCUAACUAGCAAUGUUUUGUUUCUUAGACGGACAAACUUGUAUCUCAGAACCUUGAUGAAUUGUUUCAUUUGAUCAGCUUAUGUGGAAACUACUAAUUUUCAUUGCCUCUGUACACACACUUGCAUACCCUUUUUCCUGGUGCUUAUUGGCAAUGGCCCAUUCAUAGGCAUGACCUAGAAGAAAAUAAGAUUGAAGAUGUAUUUUUCUUGGUUGGAAAUAUUACACCCCAAAUUUAAUUCAGUUUGGAUACAACAAUGACUAUUAAG